UACAGAGGGUGCAAGCGUUGUUCGGAAUUAUUGGCGUAAAGGGCGCGUAGGCGGCCUGGCAAGUGGAUGGUGAAAUCCCUCGGCUUAACCGAGGAACUGCCAUCCAGACUGCUUGGCUUGAGACCGGGAGAGGUGAGUGGAAUUCCCAGUGUAGCGGUGAAAUGCGUAGAUAUUGGGAGGAACACCGGUGGCGAAGGCGGCGACCUGGUAGAUACGUGACGCUGAGGUGCGAAAGCGUGGGAGGAACAGG
rnacentral:rRNA from 1 species